GCUCAAAUUUGAAAUCUGGCCUCUUUGGGGUCCGAGUUGUAAUUUGUAGAGGAUGUUUCGGGCACCGCUCCGGUUUAAAUUUCUUGGAACAGAAUGUCAAAGAGGGUGAGAACCCCGUCUUGGACCGGCAGUAGGGCCCAUGUGAAACUCCUUCGACGAGUCGAGUUGUUUGGGAAUGCAGCUCAAAAUGGGUGGUAAAUUUCAUCUAAAGCUAAAUAUUGGCCAGAGACCGAUAGCGCACAAGUAGAGUGAUCGAAAGAUGAAAAGCACUUUGAAAAGAGAGUUAAACAGUACGUGAAAUUGUUGAAAGGGAAGCGCUUGCAACCAGACUUGCGCGCGGCGGUUCCCCCUUCCUUUUGGUUGGGUUAUUCCGCCGUGUCCAGGCCAACAUCGGUUCUGGGGGUCGGUUAAAGGCCUGGGGAAUGUAUCUACCCUUCGGGCGUAGACUUAUAGCCCCGGGUGUCAUGCGACCUCCCGGGACCGAGGAACGCGCUUCGGCUCGGAUGUUGGCGUAAUGGUUGUCAGCGACCCGUCUUGAAACACGGACCAAGGAGUCUAACAUCUAUGCGAGUGUUUGGGUGUCAAACCCGGAACGCGGAAUGAAAGUGAACGGAGGUAGGAAGCUUCGGCUGCACUAUCGACCGAUCCUGAUGUCUUCGGAUGGAUUUGAGUAAGAGCAUAGCUGUUGGGACCCGAAAGAUGGUGAAC
rnacentral:rRNA from 1 species